AGUUCCAUAGCGUAGUGGUUAGCGCACUUGCCCGGCGAGCAAGAGGACCCGGGUUCGAUUCCCAGGUGGGGCGA